AAAAGAAAGCCGGCCGUCCUCCCUCCUUUCUCUUUCCGCAGGUCCGGAAAUCUGCUUCGGGCAUUGAACUCCUCAGCUCUAUCCUUGACAGAAGACCCGCGCGCUCCUCUCGCAGCUAAUUUGGGAUCAUUAAUUUAAUCGGAAAUGAGGUGUGAGGGAAUCUUCUUCGGAGGGGUGCACCUUGCCAACAGGUGUGGCACCUGAAGGAAGAGAAGGCACGUCUAUCCAGAGGGAGCUCGGUGCUGCGUUCUCCUUGUUGCAGAUAAUUCUGGAAGCCCGGGAGGUGUCGGGGCGGCAUUUGACCUCCUUCAGGUGCUUAGAACUAAGCGUCUAGAAACAUGAUCCCUCUGCGUACAAUUUCUCUCUGGAAGCCGCCACUAUUGACUGUAAGCUAUCUUUGAGAGACCUUUUGGCUGGGCUUACUUAUGACCUAACGGUUGGUCACCAACUGAAGCAGGACACAGAAUCACCACGAGAAGUGUGUCCGUUCUUAAACAACUCUGCAUUGUACAGCUAACGUGCUUCGGAAAUAAAAAUAAGCAGACAAAUGAGGAAGGUGUGGAGCCCCGGAAAUAUUUUUUUCUCACAUUUUGAAAUACCAUGCACAUAUACAUGGCUAUUUAAAUAGAACUACUACUGUUCACUUUGACUCGUUUCUACCACUUUUUUUAUUUUUUUCAUUUAAAAAUCAAUGAUUGUUACGGCUUAAAACCUCGGGUUGGUCUGAAGUGACAUUGUUGGUCUCAUUACAGCCUCUAGUGGACAGCUAACAUUAGUUUCCUGAAAAGGCUCUGCCUGAUUUUGUUUUGUUGACAAGAUUUGUCAAGGUGAAGGUUAAUAUUUCAGAGCACAAUCGGGUACUAUCUCUUCCCACCCCCCACUUGGCAAAGCCGGCUUCUGAAAGAAGCAGAAGCUCGUUGACUCUGCGUGGAAAAGACGUAUGCUUUGUGCUGCAGGUAUUAUUAUUACUGGCCUGUGAAUAAACAGAGAGCUUCUGCUAUUCAUUUCAGUUUUAGACAGCUUUCAUAAAAACUAAAUUCAUCUAAAAUAUUUUUAUAACAGAAAAUAUUGGUUGCCAUGUUUUUGGCUUAACUGAGAUGUUUUUAUUCCAACUCAUAAUCUGCAAACUGUCCAAUCCACCUCCACUCUAUUUUUAGACGUCUUACAUUUAGAGAAUUUUCAGUAAAAAAAAAAAAAAAGAACUAAUAUUGUAAUUAUUACAUUGGCACGAGCAGUUAAUUUACGUUAUUUUAACAACCUUAAACAAAUUAAAAUACAUAAUUCAGAUUAGAGUUCGUCAAUUAAUUUAAAUGUUCCCUCAAGGAAGCUAAAUAUGUAUAUUACCCAAACAGUAAAAACAAGUAAUAAGAAAUGUGUCAUUUACUUUCGUAGCCAUUAAGAUUAAAGCCAUAAACCAUCCCUAAAAUCUGUAACUAUUUCUUCCUGCAAGGUCCAACAUAAACACCAUACUCAUGAAACAGUUUCAUUACGUUUUAGUACUAAAAUGUUUUGUUUUCAGAUGGCAAAAUAUUAACUGUACAUUCACAAAUAACAGACACGGAUUCUUUAAAAACAAGACUUUCUCAUGCAAAUAAAAACUCAGUGAAAAAAGGGCAGAGCUUUCAAGAAGCCAGUAGGCAAGUACGUAGUACUAUAGCCCUCACACACUUCAUAUUAUAUUUGUGCAAGCAUUAGCCAACCUUUGAAAUUAAAGAAAUUGAGAAAUAAGGCCUGUUGAGCCUUACUCUUAACCUGUGUUCUAGAUUGCUUAAACACCAUGAAAAAUACUUUUAAUCCCUUACAUCUAUUUUACUGUUUUCAUGGUAUCUACUCUUAAAGGUUUAAAAUGAGUCAGCAAGUAUAUGUUAUAUCAUGUAAUUAUAUAUUACACCCUCAUUUCUUAAAGUGUAGUCCUCAGAGUAGCAGCAGCAGUGGCAUGGAGAAGUUUUUUAUACAUUCAGAAUCAAAGGUUCCACCCUAGACCUAAUGAAUCAGAAUCUGCCUUUGAACCAGCCCCCUGGGUGAUUCCUAAGAACAUUAUAGUGUGAAGGACACUGGUCUAUACUACAGGGCUCAGCCUAGAUGAAUUUGGGCACAGGUGCAGAACUUAAUUAUUCUAUUUUUUUCUCCCUUAGUAUUAAUACCUUUUAUUAAUUUGGGCUUUUCAAUGAAAAAUUAUUACAUCACAUGCUUUGGAUAAAUCGAACUUCAUUUCCGAGGAGCCCUGAUUUAUGCACAAAUUUGCAUCAUCGCUGCCAAAAGGGAACACUCUGCUGAGGAAUGUGGGGUCUUGAACGUUAAUGUUUUCUUCGUGGCAGCAGAGGGAGCACAAGAGUGCUUAAUAAGACCAGUGCACAAGGCCCUCCAAAUUGUGACAGAUUUUAAAUCGUAGUGUAUGUUUUCCUUUGGAAGUAGCCUGUUAUGUAGUUCAAAACAAAGCAAAACGACCAAAACAAACAAGAAAACACAAACAGCUUACCAGGUUAUAACAACUAAAUAAUUGAACAGAUUGGAAGCUAAAUCAAAUAAAGAUACACUUCUUCAGAGUUUUAGGCUUGAAAUCUUAAAAAAGAAAAAAAUGGACCUCUAAAGUCAAAAAGAUGUCUUAGCUUUGUUGUAGUCAAAAAUAAAGAUAACACAAUACAAAAUAAGACAACUCUAAGAAUAACUCCUAUUUAUCUAAAAAUGGAAUCAAUUUACCCAAUCCUACAUCAGGUAUGUUAAUUUCAUCUGAGGUCACACAUAUUGGUUAAAGUACAUGCACUUUUUACCACUUGUUUUCACAAUAAUUUUAGGGGCCUGUCAAUGCUUGUAGUGGUGAGAAUUUAGGUUUCAAUUAUAUCUAUGUGGCAUUUCAUACUUUUCACAUCUCUUUUGUAUUAAACCCGCAAAAAUCCCUUGAGACAGAUAAGAUUCGUAGUAAAAGCUAAGCCUCAAAAAGUUAUGGAACCUGCUGCUUUCAUAACAUUGAGUCAUUUAAUUGUUUCAAUAAUCCUUUGAGGUGUUUGUAAAUGGAGGAAAUCAUAGAGGUUAAAGCUCCAGUAGCAUGUUUUUCACAGUUUUAAAGGUUUUUCAAAUUUACUAUCAGUGAAUAUUUGAUAAUUGAGUAUUUAAAGAGAUUAAGAAAAAGACUAUGUCUUAAUUCUCAAAUUGCUUUUUAUGUAUUUAUUACUUAUUUACCAACAGCCAUUUAUUGCACGUCUCCACUCACUAGGCCCUAAGAAUAUAAAAUUGAGGCAGACGUUUCAAUCUGCAAGAAAUUCAGAGCAAAACAAAUCUUACUUUGGGGAAAAUGUUAAUUUUUAUCAUGGUGAAAUACAAAGAUUCAUAGCUAAUUGAUCUGGCACCCUGCAGAAUCUCAUCAAUCAGACUUCCAAAUUUAUGAGAAUCAAAUACUAGAAUCAUUGAAAAUUUAGGAGGUGGGCAGGUAAUUGUAUCAGUCUUGAGCAAAAUUUGACUUAUAAGCUAAUAUUAAUAUUUCAAAUGUGUAAAAUUAUAAAACAAAAUGUAAAGCUAUGUGUAUUUUAUCUGAAUGUCUUCCCCAUCAAAAAAUUGUAAGAGUAAGUUAAAGUGGUAAACAUUUAUUUAUUUUUAUCAUUUUUAAAGUGUUAAAAAGAAUUUCCUCCCACACUAAAGAGGGUUUGCCAAGAUUGUGCCUUGGAGCAAUUUGUUAUGGCUGUGUAAUAAGUCCCGGAAAGUUUGAAUUUUUAAUGGAAAUGCUGACAGAAUAAAGAGGGUGCGAUCCUACAUAUGUCAUUUAAAAAUCUGAGCAAACCAUAGUGUGCUAGCAAAACAAAUAUAUUUUCCUUAGAUUACAUCCCAAAUAAAGCUGGCAAGACCAGAAAAGGAAAAUAAACUAAAAACAAAAGUGAAAACCACUCACACAAUAGACUGUGAGGUCAGCUUACCACACCCAGACUAAAGUCACUGGGCUCUGCACAGAAUCUCUUAAGAACAUGCUUAUGACUCAUCUGUCUUGACCCUCUACCAAACUGAAGCAGGACAGACUUCCUGGUAAUAAAAAUGACAUCACCAAUAUGCAAGAGUGGAAUCAAAUUAUUGUAUUUAAACAUCUUCCAACAACAUAGGAUUUAAUAGUACCCACCUUUGGCUAUUUCAAAUAAGACUCUGUCUAUGAUUAAAAACAACUAAAGAGUACUUUCUUACAAGUCUGCACUAUCCAAUAUGGCUAUUGAACACUUUAAAUGUAGUUAGGCCAAACUGAGAUGUGCAGUGUGAAAUAUACCUCAGAUUUUAAAGACUUGGCUAAUAUAUAUGUACAUGCAGACACAACGUCUCAAUAACUUUUGUAUUGAUUAAAUGUUGAAAUGAAAAUAUUCAGAGUAUAUUGGGUUAAAUAAAACAGAUUGUUAAGCUUCA